rnacentral:antisense_RNA from 16 species
CUCAAUGGUGGGCUGGAUAGGGCAGCCGCAAGGCUGGCCGGAUGGUGAUCCCGGUAGUUCCUAACCCUGUUCAGCUCGCCACCAAU